rnacentral:rRNA from 1 species
AUUCCAGCUCCAAUAGCGUAUAUUUAAGUUGUUGCAGUUAAAAAGCUCGUAGUUGGAUUUCGGGCCCAGGUGACCGGUCCGCCGUUUCGGUGUGCACUGGUUAGCUCGGUCUUUCUGCCGGGGACACGCUCCGUCUUAAUUGCCGGACGUGGAGUCGGCGAUGUUACUUUGAAAAAAUUAGAGUGUUCAAAGCAGGCUUACGCUCUGAAUACUAUAGCAUGGAAUAACACGAUAGGACUCCGAGCCUAUUUUGUUGGUCUUCGGGACCGGAGUAAUGAUUAAGAGGGACAGUUGGGGGCAUUCGUAUAACGGUGUCAGAGGUGAAAUUCUUGGAUUUCCGUAAGACGAACUUCUGCGAAAGCAUUUGCCAAGGAUGUUUUCAUCA